rnacentral:rRNA from 1 species
AGUGAACGCUGGCGGUAGGCCUAACACAUGCAAGUCGAACGGCAGCACAGUAAGAGCUUGCUCUUACGGGUGGCGAGUGGCGGACGGGUGAGGAAUACAUCGGAAUCUACUUUUUCGUGGGGGAUAACGUAGGGAAACUUACGCUAAUACCGCAUACGACCUACGGGUGAAAGCAGGGGAUCUUCGGACCUUGCGCGAUUGAAUGAGCCGAUGUCGGAUUAGCUAGUUGGCGGGGUAAAGGCCCACCAAGGCGACGAUCCGUAACUGGUCUGAGAGGAUGAUCCGCCACACUGGAACUGAGACACGGUCCAGACUCCUACGGGAGGCAGCAGUGGGGAAUAUUGGACAAUGGGCGCAAGCCUGAUCCAGCCAUACCGCGUGGGUGAAGAAGGCCUUCGGGUUGUAAAGCCCUUUUGUUGGGAAAGAAAAGCAGCAGGUUAAUACCCCGCUGUUCUGACGGUACCCAAAGAAUAAGCACCGGCUAACUUCGUG